CACAAGCACAGCCGUCCAUUAGCCACACGAGCAGGCCGUUGGCCAUCGGAAUCAACUGGCAGAUAAGUAAACGCAGAGAAAUAAACCACGUGUCUAUCUGCGCGGAAUGUACUGCAUGAACGUUCACUGAGCGAGAGAAAAACUGGGUCUACAGUGGAAGCGAGUGGAGGCGGCAAAGAGCGUAAAAACACAGACCCAUAACCCAUAUCAAUUGCAGCUGCGGACACAAUAAUAGCACAGUCAGCCUCAAUGCCACCCCUUGAAUGCAAUAUCGAUGAAUGCACCAAGUUAAUUUGGGAAGCUUUUCUGCAUGGCUUUGAGGGUUAAACUGAGUGGUUACGUCAACGAAUAAUCAAUAAGAAUUGAUGCUAAACCCACACCUUCCGAGCUAUUACUUCAUACAUAUGUGCGUCUGCUGGGGCACAGUGUUUUCGCGUGACUUUUGAAACACCACACAGAGAACGUGUGUGGGAAGAUAAUGGGAUCUCGACAAGGAACGAGAUACUGUACAUACAGAGCUGUUGGCGUACGAAUUGCAAAAUCAGCUUAUUCACUCACCCCGCGCACAUGCCUCAUGCGGUCCAGGGCGAAGGAAAGCAGCUGGCUGAGAAGAUCCACGGAAACUCCAUUGCGCCGCAGCCUGCAAGACAAAGAAGCAAUGAAUAGAGCGGUUUCACUUGUGGGGGAAUGCCAGAAGGUCACCUCUUGGGCGCUGCCUCGAUCACCUGACACUCGGGGCACUUCCAGGAGGAGUCGAACUUGGUGGUGGCGGGUCGCACGCAGUAGGUGUGGAAGGAGCGCAGACACUUGGAGCAGGCCAUCAGCUUGCCGCACUGCCGACACUUCCAGCAGAAGGGGUCCCAGCCAGGCUGAAAGAUAGGAUUUCGAGACAUUAUAAUCGCGUCCAUACCCACUGAACAUUCUAUUCCCACUGCUCGCGGACAACAGGAAUAUCAUAAACGUGGUUUAACUAGGGGAAACUAAUAAAUAAAUGACUGCUAAAAUGUAAACUUGUGUAAGACCGUAACGAGAGCGGGUUUGUCAAUAAUAUAAGGAAUAAUCGAAAAAAUACUAAAGUAAAUGAUAAAGUAUGUACAUAGUAUAACUGCUAUUUUUAAGCAAGUAAAAUAUUAUUGGAAAAUAA